UGUUUUGGAUGGUGUUUGGCUGAGAAGUAACAUUCCUUUCCUUGCAUGAUCUCACUGAUAUUGUAAUUCUAUUUUGACAUAUAGUCCAUGUUUAUGUGUAAGUCAAUACUGGACAAGUAAUUAUUGACUUAGUAUAUCUUUAAAUCAUCAUUCUAAUUAUUGCUAAUCUAAGAGUGAUUUAGUAAAAUUAUCAUUCUAUUAUUGCUCCUUAAGGGGUAAAAUCAUCAGUCUAUUAUGAUUUUUUGUUCUGCUUUCUACAAGAAACAAACCAAAACAAAUGAAAUCCUUUUAUAAGAGGUAAAUCAGAGAUAAAAGAAAAUAGUAGGAAAAGAAAGAGAGUACUUUAAGGGAGUUGGAAGGAUAGAAGGAUUAGAUGAAUAAGGCAAUGGAGGAGAUGCGAGAAUAGUUGUUUCUACCAUGGUUAAGCCUCCUUUUUUAUUUUAGCUCAUAUCCUCUAAUCCAAAAAUCAAAGUGACUUUUUACUACUGAGCUUGAGUUGAAAUAGAACAUAAAUUUCCUGUUUGUUUAAGUUGAGGGACAACUGAUAUUCGAGGCUAUAUGUGUGAAAGCUUACAACUUUUUUAAUAUGUAGAGAUGCCGAAGCAAAAUCCAUAUAAAAAUAUGUUCAAAUCAGUCGAGAGCUCUUCACUUGCUUCAGGACAGUGGUCACAGUUUCAACAUCAGGGUCAAGCUUCAUCUUCAUCAUCACAAUAAAAAUUGAAGUUAUCAAGUUCCAUCUUUAUCAUCCGAUGGAGUGUCUUCACAGUCUGUCGCUCCAUCUACAUCUGAUGGAGUUUCUUCAAAGCCAAUCAAACAUAAAAAUGAAGACAAUCGUGACUAGUUUGUCGAUGUUAUAGAUCAACAUUAAGUGAUAAAAAUGAUUAGAUUGAAGCUUAAGGAUGUUCAUAACUUGGAAAAUGGAUUGCGGAUAAUUGUAGAAUGUAAUGAAUAUGGUGUACCUAUUGGAAAAGCAGCUGGCAUAAUUGCGGGAGUUAUUUAGUAUGGAUUUCCAUCUGGUGCAGCAGAAUUCGCUUCUUGUUGGUACUGGCACAUGAGAGAUUAUGCUUUGGGAAUUGGGUUCUAGGGAGAGGAUUGCUAACAGAAAUUUCAAGAUUUGGGAUCUUUCACAAUGUUCAGUGGCUCUACAGGCAUCUAUGGCAAGUGAGUACUUUGCAUCAGUUAGCCGUGUAAUGUGGAGUCCUGA